ACGACGGUGUCGCCGACCGGUUUCGGGCACGCCGCCUUCGAGGCGGCGAUGUCGGCGCGUUCCAGGUCCCGGUCGGUGUG
rnacentral:tRNA from 1 species